CCGAACGCCGUGGAUGAACGCCGAGGCCGGAAGAUCGCUGCAACAGUUUGAGACCAGAGUAGGCCGGACGUAGCCGAAGGGAGCCGAGUCCAAGAGAAGCGCCAACCAAUUGUAGCCGACGAAGAAUCGAGGCUAGGACAAAUGUGUCCCGAAUGAAGCCGAGCCAGAGGGCCGGAGGCAGCCGAACUUAGCCGAAAAGGCGCUGAAAGCCUUGAAGGCCUUAGCGCGCAGAAAAGUGUCCGGUUCAGGCGGUAACCGGGUGGCUUCGAGUUUUGAUUCUCUAGACCCAGAACAUAAACUAACAAAAUGCCAACAGAGAAGUCUAUUUAUCGUAACCCUCCAAUAUCGACAGUUCAGAAUGCUAGCAAACAAGAAGCAGAAAUGCAUAAAGUACUGUGCUUAUUCAAAAUGUUUGAAGGAGAUAAUCACAAAAGUAGAGACUAAACCGCACGCUGAGAAAGAGGUGCUGAUUCUGGGUGCGCAUUUCUGCUUCUUGUUUGCAAAAACCUUGAAUAUGCUGUUUCUCAGUCACAAUCAGGUGCCAGCUGCAGCCGCGUUCCGCCUUCCACUAGAGGGACAUCUUGGGUCGUGUUUGUAACUGCCUAGAAAUGCUAGGGCUGCACAGAAAGUGCUGGAAAGAAACCAAAUCUCUCAACACAAGCCACCGCCUUUGGGAGUCAAGGCUGGAGGUCAGCAUCGCCUUUGAAACUUUACAUUUUCUGUUUAUUCCCCUCUGCUCUGUUUGCCUUCCUUCCCUUGUACUUACAUUGCCUUUAUAAUAAAAAUGAAAGGAGAAACUUCCCA